GAAGAUGGCAUAUAUAUCCUAAAAGUAUCAGAUCCUGUCUGAUCUUGGAAGCUAAGCAGGGUCAGUUGAGGUUAGUACCUGAAUGGGAGACUACAGGCAAUAUCAGGUGCAGUAUUUA
rnacentral:rRNA from 11 species